rnacentral:rRNA from 1 species
CAAUAGCGUAUAUUUAAGUUGCUGCAGUUAAAAAGCUCGUAGUUGGAUUUCGGGUGGGAAUGGCCGGUCCGCCGUUUCGGUGUGCACUUGCUACGCCCACAUUGCUGCCGGGGACGUGCUCUUGAGUUCACGCUCGGGACACGGAGUCGGCGAGGUUACUUUGAGUAAAUUAGAGUGUUCAAAGCAGGCCUACGCUCUGAAUACAUUAGCAUGGAAUAACACGAUAGGACUCUGGCCUAUCUUGUUGGUCUGUAGGACCGGAGUAAUGAUUAAGAGGGACAGUCGGGGGCAUUCGUAUUUCAUUGUCAGAGGUGAAAUUCUUGGAUUUAUGAAAGACGAACUACUGCGAAAGCAUUUGCCAAGGAUGUUUACAUUAA